CGUAGGGUGCGAGCGUUAAUCGGAAUUACUGGGCGUAAAGUGUGCGCAGGCGGCCGAGCAAGUCGAGUGUGAAAGCCCCGAGCUUAACUUGGGAACUGCGCUCGAAACUACUUGGCUAGAGUGUGGCAGAGGGAGGUGGAAUUCCACGUGUAGCGGUGAAAUGCGUAGAGAUGUGGAGGAACACCGAUGGCGAAGGCAGCCUCCUGGGCCAACACUGACGCUCAUGCACGAAAGCGUGGGGAGCAAACAGGAUUAGAUACCCUGGUAGUCCACGCCCUAAACGAUGAUGACUAGUUGUUGGAGGAGUUAAAUCCUUUAGUAACGCAGCUAACGCGUGAAGUCAUCCGCCUGGGGAUACGGUCGCAAGAUU
rnacentral:rRNA from 1 species